UUUGAACUGCAUACAGCAGCAGAAAGCAGGAUUUCAGUUCCCCUUUGAUUCAGAAGAGGAACAACAAUGGAGGACCAAGGUCAUUAAUAUAAGAAGAGUCUAUUCCUGUCUGUGUUUUGCAGCAGAAGAAAGUUAAGACUGACCAGGAAUUCUAAGUGAGGAAGAGUCCCUUUCCCAUUCCGCUGCAGCCAUGAGGAGAAUACUCGUAAGAAUCAGACUUUACUUCUUUUUCACCUAUGGAACUUCAUCAUGACUCACUU